rnacentral:sRNA from 1 species
GUAAAAAAAUCAUUGCAAGUAGGAUGAGUUUUAAUGACUAAAAUAAUCACAAUUUCAUAAGGUUGUAAGUUUUGAGUAUAUUUGCAUAGGCUUUUAUUUUAAGUAAACCAGAGUCUUAUUUUUCCUUUAAUCUGGUGAUUUGCUUGAGACUUUAUUAAAGAAAGAUCUUUUUUUUUCAGACCAGCAUCUCAGACAUGUUGAAAAAGAUGUUUUGAUCCCUAAAAUAAUGAGAGAAAAGGCCAAAGAGAGGUGUUCUGAACAAGUUCAAGAUUUUACCAAAUGUUGCAAGAACUCUGGAGUUCUUAUGGUAGUAAAAUGCCGGAAAGAAAAUUCUGCAUUGAAAGAAUGUCUAACUGCUUACUAUAAUGAUCCAGCCUUUUAUGAAGAAUGCAAAAUGGAAUACCUGAAGGAAAGGGAAGAAUUCAGAAAAACUGGAAUUCCUGCAAAGAAAAGGCUACAGAAGCUUCCAACAAGCAUGUAGGCAGAUACUCAAAUGACAUUCAGGAACUCUAAUAUUCAUGGAAGUCAUUUUAUAGUCCUUAAAUAAUGGACUCAAGCAUGUAUAUUUGCUUUACCUUCACUAUGGAAAUAUU